rnacentral:rRNA from 1 species
GGACCUGACUGCUAUCGGAUUGAUACUAAGCCAUGCGAGUCAUUGUAGUAAUACAAGGCAGACGGCUCAGUAACGCGUAGUCAACCUACCCUAUGGACGGGGAUAACCUCGGGAAACUGAGAAUAAUACCCGAUAGAACAUUAUGCCUGGAAUGGUUUAUGUUUCAAAUAAUUUAUUGCCGUAGGAUGGGACUGCGGCCUAUCAGUUUGUUGGUGAGGUAAUGGCCCACCAAGACUAUUACAGGUACGGGCUCUGAGAGGAGUAGCCCGGAGAUGGGUACUGAGACACGGACCCAGGCCCUAUGGGGCGCAGCAGGCGAGAAAACUUUGCAAUGUGCGAAAGCACGACAAGGUUAAUCCGAGUGG